rnacentral:lncRNA from 1 species
AAAUAUUUUAUUAUUUAUAUUUUAGUAAGAUAUUUUAUUAUGAAAGAUAUGAUAAAUAAAAAAUGUUAAUAUAUUUAUCUAAAUCAGAAACAAUCAUCACCAAAUUUUUAAUUGGAUAAGAUGAAGAAGUAUAGUUGUUUAUAUAAUUUCUAAUUUAUAAUAAUUUUUCAAAAAUUUACUUUAGUCUAAUGGUUAAUGUGCCCCUUUAAAUGGGUAUCGAGGCACAAGUUCAAAUUCCGGAAUGAACAUAUUUAAAAAAUCAAAACGAUGUCGUUUUAGCUUGUUAACGGUUGACUAACUUCUGUUAGAGUUAAUGUUGAUUUAUGCACAUUUUAAGAAGUCCGGGUAGUUUUAUUGAAUUAUAAUUGAGUCGAAAUCGUAUUUGACACUAACUAUUUGUUCAGGUUAUAUUUGGCACGACUAAAAUUGUUGGAUUUGAAAUUUGCAUUUUUUCCCG